AGCAAACAAUCAGCGUACCAACUGGAAGAGGCACAAACAUUCGAUCUUCAGGUUUGUACGUGCCAAAGAAAAUGGUUAUCAGAUAUACGUUUAAUGAGGAGCACUGUUUUACGAGCUGUUCAUAUAAGUCAAAUGAUCCAGGUUAUGUUCAGACACAAAUGGACAAACGAUUACAGCAUGUGCUAGCAGACAACUUCUUGACCUCUUUCUUCUGGAGCACCUGAUCAGAAUGACUGACUAGUACACAUCCCCCUGGAUUUUGGGGGAAGGAGAACUCCAGUGUGGUUUUAGACAGUUGGAUGUUUGAUAUUCUCAUCAGGCAGUUCUUUAGCAUUCAGGAGCAGCAGCGAAUGUUGCUGAAAACGUUCCACUGGGAGAUUUCCAUCAAAAAGCUUUUAUCAAGGUGGCUCUGGAUGUUAUCUUGACAGAACUAAAUAAACUAGCAGAGGCAGACAUGGAAGAUCUACUGGAAUAUGGAAGAG